UACGAAGGGGGCUAGCGUUGCUCGGAAUCACUGGGCGUAAAGGGUGCGUAGGCGGGCAGUUAAGUCAGUGGUGAAAUCCUUGAGCUCAACUCGAGAACUGCCAUUGAUACUAUCUGUCUUGAAUAUUGUGGAGGUAAGCGGAAUAUGUCAUGUAGCGGUGAAAUGCUUAGAUAUGACAUAGAACACCUAUUGCGAAGGCAGCUUACUACGCAUAUAUUGACGCUGAGGCGCGAAAGCUAGGGGAGCAAACGGG
rnacentral:rRNA from 1 species